UACGUAGUUGGCAAGCGUUCUCCGGAUUUACUGGGCGUAAAGAGCGCGCAGGCGGUCGUUCAAGUCGCGUGUGAAAGCCCCCGGCUCAACUGGGGAGGGUCACGCGAUACUGAUCGACUCGAAGGCAGGAGAGGGAAGUGGAAUUCCCGGUGUAGUGGUGAAAUGCGUAGAUAUCGGGAGGAACACCAGUGGCGAAGGCGGCUUCCUGGCCUGUUCUUGACGCUGAGGCGCGAAAGCUAGGGGAGCAAACGGG
rnacentral:rRNA from 1 species